UCGUGUCGGGAAUGGAAUGUGUAAGUGUAACAUUCAGAACCGGGUAACAUUCGGCGACCGAACGCGGCGGUCGGCAGCGUUCGCGCGGGGCCUGCGGAGCGCCGCUCGGGGCCGGCACUGCCCGCGGGGAGGACGCGCCGCCGCCCAGCGCCACCGCCGCCGCCGCCGCCGCCGCCGCCGCCAGCCGGGCCGCCGCGCGCCCCGGGGGCCGCCCCGCGAGCGCACAGUAAACACCGCCGGAGUCGGAGCCGCUGCAGAAGGGAAUAAAGAGAGAUGCAGGGAUUUGUGAGGUUACGGCGCCCCAGCUGCAAGAUGCACUAGCCGGCGGAACCCGGGAUCGGCUGACUUGUUGGAACCAGAGCGCUCUGCACGGGAGUGUGGAUGAGUUGAAGUUGCUUUCCCGGGGCUCAUUUUCCACGCUGCCGAAAGGAAUCCGAGAGGCAAGGCAGUCACUUCGUCUUGCCAUUGAUUGGGUAUCGGGAGCUUUUUCUUCCCCCCUCUCUUUCUUUUCCUCCGUCUUGUUGCAUGCAAGAAAAUUACAGUCCGCUGCUCGCCCGCCCUGGGUGCGAAAUAUUCAGCCCCGCUCUCUUCCGUGCAUUGUGCAACCCAAAGAUGAAAGACCGAAGGGGAGAAAGUUAAAGAAAUCGCCCACAUGCGCUGGAUCAGUCCACGGCUUGGGGAAAGGCAUCCAGAGAAGGUGGGAGCGGAGAGUUUGAAGUCUUUACAGGCGGGAAGAUGGCGGACUGGAGCUGAAAGUGUUGAUUGGGAAACUUGGGUGAUUCUUGUGUUUAUUUACAAUCCUCUUGACCCAGGCAGGACACAUGCAGGCCAAAAAACGCUAUUUCAUCCUGCUCUCAGCUGGCUCGUGUCUCGCCCUUUUGUUUUAUUUCGGAGGCUUGCAGUUUAGGGCUUCGAGGAGCCACAGCCGGAGAGAAGAGCACAGCGGUCGCAAUGGCUUGCACCAGCCCAGUUCGGAUCAUUUCUGGCCCCGCUUCCCGGACGCUCUGCGCCCCUUCUUUCCUUGGGAUCAAUUGGAAAACGAGGAUUCCAGCGUGCACAUUUCCCCCCGGCAGAAGCGAGAUGCCAACUCGAGCAUCUACAAAGGCAAGAAGUGCCGCAUGGAGUCCUGCUUCGAUUUCACCCUUUGCAAGAAAAACGGCUUUAAAGUCUACGUCUACCCGCAGCAGAAAGGGGAGAAAAUCGCCGAAAGUUACCAAAACAUUCUAGCGGCCAUCGAGGGCUCCAGGUUCUACACCUCGGACCCCAGCCAGGCGUGCCUCUUUGUCCUGAGUCUGGAUACUUUAGACAGAGACCAGUUGUCACCUCAGUAUGUGCACAAUUUGAGAUCCAAAGUGCAGAGUCUCCACUUGUGGAACAAUGGUAGGAAUCAUUUAAUUUUUAAUUUAUAUUCCGGCACUUGGCCUGACUACACCGAGGACGUAGGGUUUGACAUCGGCCAGGCGAUGCUGGCCAAAGCCAGCAUCAGUACUGAAAACUUCCGACCCAACUUUGAUGUUUCUAUUCCCCUCUUUUCUAAGGAUCAUCCCAGGACAGGAGGGGAGAGGGGGUUUUUGAAGUUUAACACCAUCCCUCCUCUCAGGAAGUACAUGCUGGUAUUCAAGGGGAAGAGGUACCUGACAGGGAUAGGGUCAGACACCAGGAAUGCCUUAUAUCACGUCCAUAAUGGGGAGGACGUCUUGCUCCUCACCACCUGCAAGCAUGGCAAAGACUGGCAAAAGCACAAGGAUUCUCGCUGUGACAGAGACAACAACGAGUAUGAGAAGUAAGUGGCUGGGCUUCGCUGUCAGCCCUGGAUCCUGCUGUUUAGGUCCAGGUGUGAGGUUGGAGGAUGUGGGUGGGGACAGAGAAACUCUCAGCUCUUUUCCUUCCUGUUCUGCUCUUGGAACUGAGCAACCUGGUUCAAGUGUGGCUAGAAGCUGGGGCCAGAGUUUGACCACCUCAGGUGAGGUGAAAAGCUUGGAGCAGUUUCCUGAGCCAAGUAGGUGACAGUGUCUCCCUCUUGCUUGGAAAACCUCCAGGGUGUUGUGUCUUCUGGGAGGCUUGGGGUUCUGAUCUAAAUAAUGCAAACUUCCCUUCAGCCAGGCGUUUGGGAGUCUGUUUCUGAGGGUGUCUGGAGAUCCAGAGAGACUCAGUUCUAUCCCAGUUGGCAGAGCUCCCUGUACUAGAAUUUGCUUAUCUCAUGAGCAUGGGUACCUGUUCUCCCUGGAGUUUCCUAGCCUCAAAUUUUCAUCUUCUUGUAAGCCUCAAAUUCAUGUUAGCUGGAGGAGUGUUUUAAUUAUAACCAUACUAAACUUGUGCGCUUUUCUCCUCCUUCCUCCAUUGACUUGUAUGAAGGGAGAUUGUAAACUUGUUAGGGCCUGUGGCCUAGCUUGCUUGCUGGCAAUCAUGCAUUCAUUCAUUAAUUCACUCGUGUGUGUAUGUCCGACUCUUCCCUUGGAAAAACUUUAAAAUCUGGGCCGCAGGCCCACUGCUAUAAACUACCCUUGCUAAUUUAGGUUUUCCUUUCCUCUUUGUCUUUACCUAUUUGCAUAUAAAUCGGAGACUGUUAUUCUUUGAAUGCCAUGAGAUGCCUCCUUAGCCUGUGUAGUCAGGCAAGUUUUGUCCAGUUGCUAAGUAACUGAGUUAGUUACUUUGUAGCCCCAUUCACUCUUCCUUUUCCUUCUCAGUGACUGUUACUGACACAUUGGAUUUGGGAGUAGAAGCUAGAAUCCACAAAUCUGCCUUACCUUGAGCUUGGAGGGUCAGUUUCCUAACAGAUGGAGUUGGUGCCCCAGACUCUCUCUCUCGUAUCUGGCUGUGAAAGAGUUAGUGAGUUCCUACAGUGCAUUUCCACGUUACGCCAGUUAAAACCAGAGCAGCCUUGUGCUACCCAGGGAAGGAAGGGGAACCUCUCAGCUGAGUACAAGAGGAACUGGCAGAGGUUGGCAGAUUUUGCAGUUGAUUCAUGAAGAAUAGGGGAAAUGCUUCGCAAACCUGAUUGGAACAGGAAGGGGUAUGGUGGGAAAG